rnacentral:rRNA from 1 species
GGCUAACUACGUGCCAGCAGCCGGGGUAAUACGUAGGGGGCAAGCGUUAUCCGGAAUCAUUGGGCGUGAAGGGUGCGUAGGCGGCCCUAUGGGUCAGAGGUUAAAGGCUACGGCUCAACCGUAGUAAGCCUUUGAAACUGUAGGGCUUGAGUGCAGGAGAGGAGAGUGGAAUUCCUAGUGUAGCGGUGAAAUGCGUAGAUAUUAGGAAGAACACCAGUGGCGAAGGCGACUCUCUGGACUGCAACUGACGCUGAGGCACGAAAGCGUGGGUAGCGAACAGGAUUAGAUACCCGAGUAGUC